CUCAGAUGUUUCUUUCUCUACAGUUGUUUUCUCUUUCGAGGUUACAGCAGUCAGAAUUAAAAGCUGUAGCCUUGACUCCAAGGCAGAGUUCUUCCUCCCGGGGUCUGCGGUCCAUUCCAUGCGUGCUGGAUGAUUGCAUUUAAGUUUUCUGAAAGAAAAUGCGCAAGUCCUCUGAGUGAUGUCUAUCACGGAAGUUGUAAAACUGUGCCGAGUGUGACCACAGCUUGUGCGUAGAAAUGGACUGAAGAAAACAUCCUAAAACGUUCACAGCGAGUUGUCCCACUGAGUGAUUCCUUUUUUCUACGUCUAUAUUUCUACUUUUCUUGAUUGGUGGAGUCACCUGAUCUUGUGUCUGUUCAAGCCUCGGUCAACAACCUGGGAGGCCUCUUCCGUCACCAAGUCACCGUGAACUCAUGCGGCCCUCCUGCCUCUUCCUCUAAGCUCCUUCACCAGGAGAACUGAUGGUCACAUCUACCUUGUUGGACUGUCAUGAAGUACAAAUGGGAUGGUGAUGAUAAACGUUCUUGAAGAACCACAGAGCAUCGUGAAAGAGAAGCGAGCUGCCACCACAGCAUGGCUGCUGACAGGCGAGUGGUGAAGUUCUGAGCCCAGGAUCUGAACCUGGACUGCCAAAGUGGAGUGUGCCAAACUUAACCACUAGGCCACUGGGGCUGGCCUCUAUGUUUUAAUGGUAAAGGGUAACAUGGAAUUCAGGAACACACUUUAGAUUUCUUGCUUGAUAAAUGAGCAUAGCGCAGAGAGAAGACUUGGGUUUCUGUACUUCAUUCUGCUGAGUAAAUUUCUUGAUACAUGUCUAGUAAGGAAAUUAGUACAAUUUUUUCAUGAGCACAAAAGUUCCCAGUGGGUCUUAUGCGUUCAGCUAAUAAUUAUUUAAAAAAUUUAUGCAGCAAAUACUUAACUAAACACGUACACUCUGAAGGUCAGUAUCUGUUCUAACAAAGGAGGGGGAGCCUAACGGAGUAGAAAACGUGAGCUUUGUGAGCCGUGGUUCUCGCUGGACCAGCAGCCCAGCGUCGCCUGGGGGCUUGUUGGAAAGGUGAGUUCUCAGACCCGCCGGGAUCUCCUGAAUCAGACUCUGGGGCUGGAGUCCAGUGACGUUUUUAACAAGUCGUUCAGAUGAUUCUGACGCAGUGUGGGAAGCACUGACAGAGAAGACGUCCUUCCAGGAUGGGAGAAGCAGGCUGAGGGGUCACACGAGGUUAAUCAGAAGAAGGGUAGACUCAGGACACCAAGGGCUGCUGCAAACUGACGCUCACCCACGAAGCAGCGCUCCCGGUGGCAGCUCCUGGAAGCUCCUGGUUUCUGUGCAGGGGAAUGGAUUCCUCUCUUCCGUGGGGAAAUGGAAAUGCCCACAUUUUAGGAGAAGCAAAAGUGAUGCACUGAAAAGCCUGGGGAUGGGGUUUAUC
rnacentral:lncRNA from 1 species